rnacentral:misc_RNA from 1 species
UCUCCGUAGGUGAACCUGCGGAAGGAUCAUUACCGAGUAAGGGUCUUCGGGCCCGAUCUCCAACCCUUUGUUUAACUAAAAUGUUGGUUUGGCGGGCCCAUCCCACCACCGCCGGACGUAUGGCUUCGACAGAACCCCUGGACCGUGCCUGUUUGUGGCCCCUUCUAGUUUUUCAUUAAAUAUAAUGUUUUAACUAAGAACCUAUAAGUUCAAACUUUCAACAACGGAUCACUUGGUUCGAGCAUCGAAGAACAACGCAGCAGAUCGGAGUAGAAAACG